AUGCAAGUCGAACGAGAAAGUGGAGCAAUCCAUGAGUAAAGUGGCGACCGGGUGAGUAACACGUGACUAACCUACCUCCGAGUGGGGAAUAACUCCGGGAAACCGGGGCUAAUACCGCAUAACAUCGCAAGAUCAAAGCAGCAAUGCGCUUGGAGAGGGGGUCGCGGCUGAUUAGCUAGUUGGCGGGGUAACGGCCCACCAAGGCGAAGAUCGGUAUCCGGCCUGGGAGGGCGCACGGACACACUGGAACUGAAACACGGUCCAGACUCCUACGGGAGGCAGCAGUGGGGAAUUUUGCGCAAUGGGGGAAACCCUGACGCAGCAACGCCGCGUGGAGGAUGAAGCCCUUUGGGGCGUAAACUCCUUUCGACUCGGACGAUAAUGACGGUACGAGUGGAAGAAGCACCGGCUAACUCUGUGCCAGCAGCCGCGGUAAUACAGAGGGUGCGAGCGUUGUUCGGAAUUAUUGGGCGUAAAGGGCGCGUANGCGGUGCGGCAAGUCACCUGUG
rnacentral:rRNA from 1 species